rnacentral:rRNA from 1 species
CCUACGGGAGGCAGCAGUGAGGAAUAUUGGUCAAUGGGCGCGAGCCUGAACCAGCCAAGUAGCGUGAAGGAUGACUGCCCUACGGGUUGUAAACUUCUUUUAUAAAGGAAUACAGUGAGGCACGUGUGCCUUUUUGUAUGUACUUUAUGAAUAAGGAUCGGCUAACCCCGUGCCAGCAGCCGCGGUAAUACGGAGGAUCCGAGCGUUAUCCGGAUUUAUUGGGUUUAAAGGGUGCGUAGGCGGCCUUUUAAGUCAGCGGUGAAAGUCUGUGGCUCAACCAUAGAAUUGCCGUUGAAACUGGGGGGCUUGAGUAUGUUUGAGGCAGGCGGAAUGCGUGGGGGAGCGGUGAAAUGCUUAGAUAUCACGCAGAACCCCGAUUGCGAAGGCAGCCUGCCAAGCCAUGACUGACGCUGAUGCACGAAAGCGUGGGGAUCAAACAGGAUUAGAUACCCUUGUAGUC